rnacentral:rRNA from 1 species
GAGGGGGCAAGCGUUGUUCGGAAUUACUGGGCGUAAAGGGCGCGUAGGCGGCCUGUUAAGUCGAACGUGAAAUCCCCGGGCUCAACCCGGGAACUGCGUCCGAUACUGGCAGGCUUGAAUCCGGGAGAGGGAUGUGGAAUUCCAGGUGUAGCGGUGAAAUGCGUAGAUAUCUGGAGGAACACCGGUGGCGAAGGCGGCAUCCUGGACCGGUAUUGACGCUGAGGCGCGAAAGCCAGGGGAGCAAACGGGAUUAGAUACCCCGGUAGUCCUGGCCCUAAACGAUGAAUGCUUGGUGUGGCGGGUAUCGAUCCCUGCCGUGCCGAAGCUAACGCAUUAAGCAUUCCGCCUGGGGAGUACGGUCGCAAGGCUG